AUGGAUCCUCGUCGGCGCUUAGGCCGGUCACCACCACGCAAGAGGGAACGCCAGGCAUCGCCGGCGAACGACUACAGAAACCGCCAUCUCUGGCGCUCACCCCCUCGGGACUUCGCGCCCUCCUGGACAGGCGCGCCUUCUCCUCCUGCGGCCUUCUUGGAGCGGCCGCCCUCGCCUCCCCUUCCUCUCUGGCGCUACAUCGAUUACAGCCGCGAGGAGCCCUACGGCCCUCGGCCAAGAUUCGAGCCAUGGCGCGUGUCCUCGCCUUCGGGACCCCAGAGGGAGGCUGACAGCUUCGGCAAUGGAUUCUUGGACCAUGACUGGCCGGAGUACAGCCGCGAGAGCAACUACGGUACGCCUACGAGCACUAGAUUCUUGGAGUUCGCUGAUUCUUUCCCGGGGCAGAGUCGUUUCGAGCGCGGCCGUGGUGAUGACUUCAGGCGACCGAACCGCUCCCUGCCGCGGUCGCCAAUGGACUGGGAUUCGCCUUUCUUUGCCGACGAGCACCAGUGCUCCAGUUCAAGACCAAGGGAUUGGACACCAGCUUUGGAUGAUCGCAGGCGGCGGGGCUCGUCGCCGCCAGGGCGCCACGAGGGACGCGGUCACGUGCAGUCCCGCGAUGAGACGUUCUAUCGCUCCGGCCCCUUCCCGGUGGAGCGCGGCCGCGGCGACGGCUUCGAGGCGACACCACGUCCAAGAUUCUCCCAUGGAGCCAUGUUCCCCGAGCGCUCCCCUGCCAUAAUCUUGGAGGGCGAGAGGCGAUGGACACCGUCUCCUCAGGAUCGCCGGCGGGGAGCUCUGUUCCCGGGGUCUGACGGCCAUGACCGCUGGACGCAGCGCUCCAUGGAGAGACUGGGGCAGCAGAGCUCGCCACGUGGAGACCGUGGGGGCUCGUUCCUGGAGACAGGAGACCGUGGGGAGCGCUACCCUUUGGGCCCGCCGCCUCCACACAAUCUCGGGGGCGGCAGCGGCGGCGGGUUCCCACCACGGCGGUUCUUUCGCGGGAGGGGCGGGCUCCAGCAAACUGGGCCGCCAGGCGGCAGCGGACGCCAGCGAUCGCCUCGCCAGAGCUCGGUACUCCCUGCGCUGCGCACCGAGCCUGAAGCGUCGGGCGGCAGCCGACGCAAGGGCAAGGCAUUCCCCCGGAAGAGGUCGCCCCGCCCUGUGCGCGGAGUGCUGUCGGAGAAGCAAGUGGCAGGUGCUAUCAAGUCGACAGGAGUCGAGGAGCCGCAGGGUCCUUCGGAAUCUAAGCAUGAUGAUUCAAAUGGGGCGGUCAGACCAGAAGCUGCAGAUAAUGAAGGGGCGAUCAAGCCAGAAGCUACGGUGGAUGAAGGAGAUGGGACUGGUCUGAUUGUAGGGAUGUGCACAGAUGUACAGAAAGGCUACUUCCGUCUCACGGGGCCUCCAGAUGCAACAAAGAUAAGACCAAAGCCUGUACUUGUAGAAGCCCUGAAGUUUGUCCAGGUCUCAAGUAAAGACUAUAAUUUUAAAACAGAUCAACUGAAAUCAAUUCGUCAAGAUAUGACUAUCCAGAACAUAGAGGAUGAACUUUCUGUGCAGGUUUAUGAGUAUCAUGCAAGACUUGCGUUGUGCAAUCGAGAUAUGGCUGAACUUAACUUGUGCCUCACGAAGCUGCACUGCCUCUAUGGGAAUAAGCGGAAUGGUGGCCAUCAUGGUGAAUUUGCAGCUUAUGUUAUAUUGUUAUCUGCGAUUCAAGACAAAAAUACUGAACUGAUGUCGAAACUUGGAAGGCUGUCAAGCGACCUGAAACAGCAAGAAGCUGUGAAGCAUGCGAAAGAAGUGGCUCACAGUAUACAGACAGGAAACUAUGCAUCAUUUUUCAAACUCUACAAGGUGGCUCCAAACCUCAAUGGCUACCUGAUGUGUCUCUGCUUUGAGAAGAUGAGAUUUGAAGGUUUAAAAUGUAUGGCAAAGGCCUACGCAACCAAGAUACCUGUUAAAUACGUAUCCAAAAUCUUAGGUUUUGCUGCAGUAGACGGAAGUGUUGAUUGGCUUAAAAGUCAUGGUGCUGUUUUAUCAUCCUUCGAGAACGGGGAGAUGGCUUUACUGCCAAAGGACUCUACAGCUCUCGUCUCUACGCCAGUUGUUGCUGCUGAUGGUAUUCGUGCUUUCCAAGCCCACUGA
rnacentral:rRNA from 1 species